UUUCAAAUUCUUUUUACUCUCAAAUCACUUACUUUUGACUGGCUCAUACUGUAAGUUAUACAAUGCAUAUACAUAUGUUAUGAAGUCCCUUUGUGGAGAUACUUCAACAUACUGUAAGUAUUUCUGUAUUUGCUAGCAUUAUCACCAACACUGCAUUAGAGUAGAAAAAAAUUCAGGUACUGAUUUUUCCAUCUCCUCCUCAAGCUCCCAGCAGCUUCUUGACCAUGUAACCAGGCAUGUUGUAGAGGAAGAGCCCGAACAGGGCCAGAAUCAGCAGUGCGAUCACAAGCUUGAUGACGAGCCACUUGUACUGGUUACACACUAGGUGGCGGAUGGCCUUCAGAGGCAUAAGGAACCACAACAUGGCGAUGUCUGGACGGCUGAUGAAGACAAAACAAAGAUUUGGGGUUUGAAACCCCCAGCAUCUUCUUGACCAUGUAGCCCGGCAUGCUGUAGAGGAAGAGCCCGAACAUGGCCAGCAGUAGCAGUGCAAGAACAAUCUUGAUGACGAGCCACUUGUACUGGUUACACACUAGGUGGCGGAUGGCCUUCAGAGGCAUAAGGAACCACAACAUAGCAGUGUCUGGACGGCUGCAACCCUUGGCUCAACACCACCAUCUAUAGGCCGAUAGGUGUAUAGUCAGUAAAUGUGAUGAAAUUCACGAAACUUGGCAUACCCCCACAGACCGUCCGGGUAAUAAUACACAUGA